UGUAUGUUGGCAUUUGUGUACAUGUAAAUUUCCUUACAUUAUUAGCAGAACGAAGAUGUCAGCUCACUGAUAGAGCUGUGUUCGAACAGCUGUGAAUCAUGAAUAUUAACAGACACACCCCAAGAUCGCCAGAUUCCUUCCCAGACAUGGCUGUCGCUCCGCUGGACCACGAGAUGCUGUACCGAGGCAAGGCGAUCAAGAAUUAUUGCGAAACGAGGCGAGAUUAGUUACAGCUCACCCCUAGAAGAGCCACAAGGCUUCAAAUACCGACCAAUCACAGGCCGUAACAGCCGUGCAGCAUUACUGCGGCAAUCGAGGGCUUCGAAGAAGCCCUUACCUUCCUGCAAGCCAUGUUUUGCUUCCUUUCAUCAAGAAAGUUUUAUCUUCAAUCAGAUUAUUUGCCUCGCAGCAUCCAGUAGCUGCAAACAGACUACCGU